AUUGAACGCUGGCGGCAGGCCUAACACAUGCAAGUCGAGCGGAUGAGGGGUGCUUGCACCCCGAUUCAGCGGCGGACGGGUGAGUAAUGCCUAGGAAUCUGCCUGGUAGUGGGGGAUAACGUUCCGAAAGGAACGCUAAUACCGCAUACGUCCUACGGGAGAAAGCAGGGGACCUUCGGGCCUUGCGCUAUCAGAUGAGCCUAGGUCGGAUUAGCUAGUUGGUGAGGUAAUGGCUCACCAAGGCGACGAUCCGUAACUGGUCUGAGAGGAUGAUCAGUCACACUGGAACUGAGACACGGUCCAGACUCCUACGGGAGGCAGCAGUGGGGAAUAUUGGACAAUGGGCGAAAGCCUGAUCCAGCCAUGCCGCGUGUGUGAAGAAGGUCUUCGGAUUGUAAAGCACUUUAAGUUGGGAGGAAGGGCAGUAAGUUAAUACCUUGCUGUUUUGACGUUACCAACAGAAUAAGCACCGGCUAACUUCGUGCCAGCCGCCGCAGUAAUAC
rnacentral:rRNA from 1 species